AUUGGAGAAGACAUGAAAAGACAUUGUUUUUAAAUUAAAAUUGGAAGUGAAAACACCUUAGCUGCAGCUGAAACUGUGUUGCAUAUUACAAACCUCUCCCUAUUAUUGGAUCUAGGAGCCUAGAGUGUUUACAUUCAGCCCAUUUGGAGAGAAAAAGAAAAGGACAGAAUGAGGAGGUAAUUUGGCUAAAUCCAAUUAGUGCUGUAUUCUACUUCAUUAUUACAUCAGUGUCCCCACAGAAUCAAAGAAGGAAGAGAAAGAAAAAGCCUUAACUCUGUCAACUCUAGGAGACUGAAUUUUGAUUGGAAGAAAGUUUUAACAGCAAUCUCUACCUGACAGCAUUUUGGGAGUGUAACCACCUGACAUACUUGUAACAUACUUUGUGUCCCACACACAACACAAAUGGGAGUUCAUGCUACUGUUUUAACUGUUCUGAGCAAGUCCAAGCAUCACCAUAUGCCCCUGCACUGGGUCAUUCUAUAGUGCUGGUGAAGACAGGACGUGCUGGUGUUGCAGUUAUAGCAGCAGCGGAGCAACUGCGUAACUUUUUAGUGGCUCUUCUGGUCAAAUUUCUGAACUCUGUGGCCACUUGACCCUAGGGUUCAAGUCUUCUAGAAGUCCCUCAUUGAACACAGUGGCAUGUACAUACCUCUAGUCCCAUAUCCCGCACUUUUAAAGUCAGACUCUUCUUCAAGAUCACUGUGUUCCAGUACUCAGUUUGCUUUUGGAUCUGGGAUAAUUUCUUCUCAGAAGCUAUCCUACAGUUGUGCUAGCAGCUGACCCAAGGUAGAUCCCAGGACACUCAUUCAGAUCUUGAACAAUGGUUGGAUCCACUCCCAGGUAACCCAGACUAUUCAACACACCAUUGCUUUUGACAGGUGAAUUCGUAUCUGGCCCAGCAGUACAAAGAGAAAAUUAAGGGCUUGAAGGUGCAUCAAAACAAGGCUGGUAGCUGCACCUUCAUAUGUUUGAACAGAUGCUAGUUCCUGGAUGUCUAUGGAGACUGAAAUGAUCCUUGACAACACUAAAGCUCAAAGAGGAAGGAGAGGGCACCUAUAUGUCACAGGAGGUAUCAGAGGCAUUUUCUGGACCGUUGCGAGAUGGGGAGCCAUCUACACAAGUGUCACCAGAACGUGAGAACAGGCAUUUGCAUGGCACUUUUGUAGCUGGUAUUGCAAGCAAUCUUGGAUGAUGACCCAGCACAUGUUCAUUUUAAGAACACUUUCACUGCAGAUUUGACAAAAGGCAAAGAAGGUACCUACCAAUGUGAGAUUUCUAAAGAUAGUUUCAGCACUUGAUCCAAGGUUUAAGAAUCUGAAGUACCUUCCGAAAUCUGAGAGGGACAAGGUGUGGAGCAUGCUUUCAGAAGUCUUAAAAGAGCAACACUCCAGGGCCGAAAUUCACCAAAAAAGAAAAUCAAGCUUCUGC